UAAAAGCUGAAAAAACUCAUCAUAGUGUAAAAUCAACUCUUACUGGAGGAGAACCACUUGCAUUGAGUAGACGAUGUCGCCGACUGAAAUGUCCACCCUAAAACUCGGUCCACCCUGCCUUCACUGUGCAUGCGUCAUCAGCCGCAGUUCACUGAUUA